rnacentral:rRNA from 1 species
GAAUUCGCCCUUAGAGUUUGAUCCUGGCUCAGGAUGAACGCUAGCGGCAGGCUUAACACAUGCAAGUCGAGGGGUAACGGGGAAGCUUGCUUCCGCCGACGACCGGCGCACGGGUGCGUAACGCGUAUACAAUCUACCUUAUACUGGGGUAUAGCCUUUAGAAAUGAAGAUUAAUCCCCCAUAGUCUCUUAGAGUGGCAUCACUUCUAGAGUAAAGGUUACGGUAUAAGAUGAGUAUGCGUUCUAUUAGUUUGUUGGUGUGGUAACGGCACACCAAGACUACGAUAGAUAGGGGCCCUGAGAGGGGGAUCCCCCACACUGGUACUGAGACACGGACCAGACUCCUACGGGAGGCAGCAGUGAGGAAUAUUGGACAAUGGAGGCAACUCUGAUCCAGCCAUGCCGCGUGUAGGAUGACUGCCCUAUGGGUUGUAAACUACUUUUAUACAGGAAGAAACACCUCUACGUGUAGAGGCUUGACGGUACUGUAAGAAUAAGGAUCGGCUAACUCCGUGCCAGCAGCCGCGGUAAUAAGGGCGAAUUC